CCUACGGGUGGCAGCAGUGAGGAAUAUUGGUCAAUGGACGAGAGCCUGAACCAGCCAAGUCGCGUGAAGGAUGACGGCCCUACGGGUUUUAAACUUCUUUUGUCAGGGAGCAAUAGGGUGCACGCGUGGGCUUAGCGAGAGUACCUGAAUAAAAAGCAUCGGCUAACUCCGUGCCAGCACCCGCGGUAAUACGUAGGAUGAGAGCGUUAUCCGGAUUUAUUGGGUUAAAGGGGUGCGUAGGCGGAAUAUCAAGUCAGCGGUAACAAUUCGGGGCUCAACCGCGUCGUGCCGUUGAAACUGAUAGUCUUGAGUGGGCGAGAAGUAUGUGGAAUGCGUGGUGUAGCGGUGAAAUGCAUAGAUAUAACGAAGAACUCCGAUUGCGAAGGCAGCAUACCGGCGCCCAACUGACGCUGAAGCACGAAAGCGUGGGUAUCGAACAGGAUUAGAUACCCUUGUAGUC
rnacentral:rRNA from 1 species